GUGGUCCCUCCCAACCCAGUUAUAUAUGAUAUAAAAAGAUAAAUAAAUACAAUAUAAAUUAGAACAAUCUCACCAAGUUAGUUGGAGCCCCAUGCAGAUUUGUAACACUUGAAGAACUGGAUGAACUCUCCGAUGAUCUAUGAUGGUUUGAUUUUUCUUAAGGUUUCCAAUAUGCUAUACUCGCGAAACAUUUCAUUAAUGAUUGUGUUUACUUCACGCAAAAUUUAAUAAGAUUGAGAUUUCUUACGCGCCUUACAAUUAUUUUUUUUAAUUUUCAUACAGAAAAUGGUCACAAAAAUGUGUUACGUAAAUAAUGGACAGUCCCUUAAUGUUACGACCCACGCGAUUCAACAAGGCGUCACAAUGUCACAUAUAUGCUUAUAUGCAAAUCGCAUGAUGAACGCCUCACGCCCCGCUUGACGCGCCGCGUUACUAUGUCGUCGGCCUACAGCUUUAGGUUGCUCCACUUCUAACACCACAUUUCGUCGUUGUCAUGACAACAUAAUGCUUGAUGCGCUAAGUUUCACGCACACACACUUACUGAUCCGAAGUAACUAUUGCUUCCAGAAAAUUCGAUGCUCACUUCAACCACAUGAUUUUACAUAAAUUCUUGAAUAAAACGACCAUAUAACGAAAUAUUUAUGAAAUGCUUUAAAUGCCAACUGACAGAAAUUCAUUCAACACUAUUGAGCCCCAUUAAAACAACAUCAUUCAAGCUUUAAAUAAAGAAACCCCUCACUUCACUCCACCCACACGACAACACCAAUACAUUGACUAUGCCAAUUUUUUUUUUCACUUCACAUCGGCCAAGCCAUUACAAAA